AGCGGAGAUUUGAAAAAGCUUGCUUUUCAAAUCUUAGCGGCGGACGGGUGAGUAACACGUGGGCAACCUGCCCUUGAGACGGGGAUAACUCCGGGAAACCGGAGCUAAUACCGGAUAACACAUAUCUUCGCAUGAGGAUAUGUUAGAAGGUGGCUUUUAGCUACCACUCAAGGAUGGGCCCGCGGCGCAUUAGCUAGUUGGUGAGGUAACGGCUCACCAAGGCGACGAUGCGUAGCCGACCUGAGAGGGUGAUCGGCCACACUGGGACUGAGACACGGCCCAGACUCCUACGGGAGGCAGCAGUAGGGAAUCUUCCGCAAUGGACGAAAGUCUGACGGAGCAACGCCGCGUGAGUGAUGAAGGUUUUCGGAUCGUAAAGCUCUGUUGUUAGGGAAGAACAAGUACCUGUUAAAUAAGCAGGUACCUUGACGGUACCUAACCAGAAAGCCACGGCUAACUACGUGCCAGCAGCCGCGGUAAUACGUAGGUGGCAAGCGUUGUCCGGAAUUAUUGGGCGUAAAGCGCGCGCAGGCGGUUCCUUAAGUCUGAUGUGAAAGCCCACGGCUCAACCGUGGAGGGUCAUUGGAAACUGGGGAACUUGAGUGCAGAAGAGGAGAGCGGAAUUCCACGUGUAGCGGUGAAAUGCGUAGAGAUGUGGAGGAACACCAGUGGCGAAAGCGGCUCUCUGGUCUGUAACUGACGCUGAGCGCGAAAGCGUGGGGAGCGAACAGGAUUAGAUACCCUGGGUAGUCCACGCCGUAAACGAUGAGUGCUAAGUGUUAGAGGGUUUCCGCCCUUUAGUGCUGCAGCAAACGCAUUAAGCACUCCGCUGGGG
rnacentral:rRNA from 1 species